AAUAGAUACCCCGGUAGUCCACGCCGUAAACGAUGAGUGCUAAGUGUUAGAGGGUUUCCGCCCUUUAGUGCUGCAGCUAACGCAUUAAGCACUCCGCCUGGGGAGUACGGUCGCAAGACUGAAACUCAAAGGAAUUGACGGGGGCCCGCACAAGCGGUGGAGCAUGUGGUUUAAUUCGAAGCAACGCGAAGAACCUUACCAGGUCUUGACAUCCUCUGACAACUCUAGAGAUAGAGCGUUCCCCUUCGGGGGACAGAGUGACAGGUGGUGCAUGGUUGUCGUCAGCUCGUGUCGUGAGAUGUUGGGUUAAGUCCCGCAACGAGCGCAACCCUUGAUCUUAGUUGCCAGCAUUUAGUUGGGCACUCUAAGGUGACUGCCGGUGACAAACCGGAGGAAGGUGGGGAUGACGUCAAAUCAUCAUGCCCCUUAUGACCUGGGCUACACACGUGCUACAAUGGAUGGUACAAAGGGCUGCAAGACCGCGAGGUCAAGCCAAUCCCAUAAAAACCAUUCUCAGUUCGGAUUGUAGG
rnacentral:rRNA from 1 species